rnacentral:lncRNA from 1 species
CUGUAGAAGUCGGGGAUAAAGUCCGACUCCCGUAGGAGUCUGGAUGAAGUCUACCUGCUAUAGGAGUCAGGGACGAAGUCCGGCUCCCGUAGGAGUCCGGAUGAAGUCUACCUACUGUAGAAGUCGGGGACGAAGUCUGGCUCCCGUAGGAGUCCGGAUGAAGUCUACCUGCUGUAGAAGUCGGGGAUGAAGUCCGGCUCCCGUAGGAGUCC